UACGUAGGGUCCGAGCGUUGUCCGGAAUUAUUGGGCGUAAAGGGCUCGUAGGCGGUCUGUUGCGUCGGGAGUGAAAACUUACAGCUUAACUGUGAGCGUGCUUCCGAUACGGGCAGACUUGAGGCAUUCAGGGGAGAACGGAAUUCCUGGUGUAGCGGUGAAAUGCGCAGAGAUCAGGAAGAACACCGGUGGCGAAAGCGCUCUGCUAGGCCGCAACUGACACUCAUGGACGAAAGCUAGGGGAGCGAAUGGG
rnacentral:rRNA from 1 species